GACGAACCGUGCGAACGUUGUUCGGAAUCACUGGGCUUAAAGGGCGCGUAGGCGGGCUAUCAAGUCCGGGGUGAAAUCCUCCAGCUUAACUGGAGAAUGGCCUCGGAUACUGAUGGUCUCGAGGAGGAUAGGGGCACACGGAACUGUGGGUGGAGCGGUGAAAUGCGUUGAUAUCGGAAGGAACACCAGUGGCGAAAGCGGCUUCCUGGUCCAGCACCGACGUUCAGGCACGAAAGCGUGGGGAGCAAACAGG
rnacentral:rRNA from 1 species